rnacentral:ncRNA from 1 species
CCCAUGCAGUUCAUCGAGCAUGAAUAGGAUAUGCAGGAAAGUGAAAUCAGAAUUGGGAGUGAUGCCCCGCCGAAAAAUCAGAACGAAACCGAAAAAUUGAUUAGUACCGUGCCUAUUAGGUGGCAAUCAAAGUAGGGAGUAGCUAUGGACCACAGCAUAGAUCUACUGUGGUG